GAUGAACGCUGGCGGCGUGCCUAACACAUGCAAGUCGAGCGAGAUAAAUGUGAGUGGAGACUUCGGUCAAAGCGAUCAUUUUGAAAGCGGCGGACGGGUGAGUAACGCGUGAGCAAUCUGCCCCAUACAAAGGGAUACCCACUGGAAACGGUGAUUAAUACCUUAUAAGACCACGAAGUCGCCUGGCUUAGUGGCCAAAGAUUUAUCGGUAUGGGAUGAGCUCGCGUCUGAUUAGCUAGUUGGUGAGGUAAUGGCUCACCAAGGCGACGAUCAGUAGCCGCCCUGAGAGGGUGAACGGCCACACUGGAACUGGGACGCGGUCCAGACUCCUACGGGAGGCAGCAGUGGGGAAUAUUGCACAAUGGGCGCAAGCCUGAUGCAGCAACGCCGCGUGAAUGAUGAAGGCCUUCGGGUCGUAAAGUUCUGUCCUAAGGGAAGAAUACAGUGACGGUACCUUAGGAGGAAGCCCCGGCUAACUACGUGCCAGCAGCCGCCGUAA
rnacentral:rRNA from 1 species